AAACUCGACAUGCCACGCCGUCUGGAGGAUAGCUCGGCUAGGACGCUGAAGAAGGGCGCAACAAGCUGCGAUAAGCCUCGGCUAGGCGCAUGUAGCCUUCGACCCGAGGAUUCCCUAAUGGGACUUCCUAUCAUGAGGACCGCAAGGCCUUCAUGAUGCUCCUGCAUGGGAGCGGGAACCCUCCGAAAGGAAACAUCUCAGUAGGAGGAGGAAGAGAAACCAACUGGGAUUCCCUAAGUAGCGGCGAGCGAAACGGGAACAGUCCAAACCGAACCUUGUAGGGAAACCUAUAGGGGAUGUGGCGUUAUGGGCCCGGCUGCCUCUCACUUGGCUAAGCUGAAGUGGUCUGGAAUGGCCUGCCAAAGAGGGUGAAAGCCCCGUAAGCGUAAACCAAGCAGAGUUGAGCUGGAGUCCCAGAGUACUUUACCCUGACUUGGGUGAAGGAAAUUGGGAGCCAUCAACUUCCAAGACUAAACACGUUCCUAGACCGAUAGCGAACAAGUACGGUGACGGAAAGAUGAAAAGUGCCCCGGAAGGGGGGUGAAAAGCGCUUGAAACCAGACGGUUACAGACGUGUGCGGCCUGAAAGGGCAGAUUCCUCCCAAAGGAAUCUGCGGUGACGCAGAAAUACGAGGGAGGAGGACCAGGGUCGCACGUUCCGUCUAGAAACACGGGCCGGGGAGUUUACAGUUGUGGCGAGCUUAAGGGCAUAAACCCGUAAGCGUAGGGAAACCAAAAGCACGCAGCCAGAUUUAUCUGGUAAGGUGCUGAGUCUGAAAGGGCUCGGAGUCACAGCUGUAACACUAGAAGCUGGGCGAUCUAGCCCUGGGCAGGAUGAAGCCAAGCGAAAGCUUGGUGGAGGUCCGCAAGGGUUCUGAUGUUCAAUUCGUUCCUCAGACCUGGGGCUAGGGGCUAAAGACCAAUCUAGCCCAGAGAUAGCUAGUUCCCUCCGAAGUGGGUCGCAGCCCAGCCUCAAGCGAGGUUGCCUACGGGGUAGAGCACUGACUAGAAAGUAAGGGGUCGAAAGGCCUCGCUUUCUUAUCAAACUCCGAAUCCGUAGGCGCCGUAGACCUUGGGAGGCGGGUUCUGGGGGGUAAGCUCCCAGUCCGAGAGGGGAACAACCCAGACCGAGGUUAAGGCCCCUAAAUGCUGGCUAAGUGUCAAACUGAAGGGAGUCAUCAGCCCUAGACAGCGGGAAGGUAGGCUUAGUAGCAGCCAUCCUUUAAAGAGUGCGUAACAGCUCACCCGCCGAGGCUCAUGGCCCUGAAAAUGGACGGGGCUAAGCCAGCUGCCGAUACCUCGGGGCGCAGCUUUUGCUGCGGUCAGGUAGGAGGGCGUCCUGGUUGGGCGGAAGCUGGGUCGUGAGAUCCAGUGGACCGAUCAGGAUUGCAGAUCCCGGCGGUAGUAACAGCAAAGAGAGGUGAGAAUCCUCUCCGCCGAAGGGGCAAGGGUUCCCCCGCAACACGUCAUUAGCGGGGGGGAAGCCGGUCCUAAGGUCGACCUUACCUGGGUAGGCCGAAUGGGAAACCGGUUAAAAUUCCGGUGCCACAGAGGUACGAUUGCGGUGACGCAAGGCAUGGUGCCUGACGCUUCGGGAUAGGCUGAGCGGGGUCGUCGCCCUGUUUAACCGUAUAUGCCUGGGGAGGCCGUAAUGGCGAGAACCAGGUGAAGGCGGGAAUAGCCGUCCGUUUUAGGAUGGUUCGGCUGAUUCCUGGGGCCAAUGAAAAGGGCAUCAUGAAGGAUCCUCUGUGACCGUACCAAGAACCGACACAGGUGUCCCUUGGCUAGCAACCUAAGGCGUGUCGGGUGUACGCCAAGCGAGGGAACUCGGCAAAUUAGCCCCGUAACUUCGGGAUAAGGGGUGCCUGCGGUUUGGGCGUAAGCCUGAACCACAGGUCGCAGUGACAAGGGGGUCUCGACUGUUUAAUAAAAACACAGGAAGCCGCAAGCCCGAAAGGGUGUGUACGGCUUCUGAAUCCUGUCCAGUACAGGUACCUGAAACCCGGGUUCAACCGGGCUAAGGGCCUGCAAACGCCGGGAGUAACUCUGACUCUCUCAAGGUAGCCAAAUGCCUUGUCGGGUAAGUUCCGACGUGCAUGAAUGGAACAACGAGGACCCCGCUGUCCCCGCUUGGUACCCGGUGAACCCACGUAACGUGGACGAACAGUCCACGAACUCCCAGCGGGAAAAGAAGACCCCGUGGAGCUUUACUGCAGCCUGUCGCUGGGAUACGGUUGCGAUUGCAGAGUGUAGGUGGGAGCCGUUUGAUCUCGACCUCUCCGGGGGUCAAGGUAGGCGACAAUGGAACACCCCCCACUCGCAGCUGUAUCCCUUACCGGCGCGAAGGCGCUGGGACAACGGUAGGUGGGCAGUUCGGCUGGGGCGGCACCCCCUUGAAAAAAUAUCGAGGGGGCCCUAAGGUCGGCUCAGGCGGGACAGAAACCCGCCGCAGAGUGCAAAGGCAAAAGCCGGCCUGACUGGAUCCUCCAAAGUAAGGGAUCCAGAGGCGAAAGCCGGGCUUAGCGAGCCGUCAUGUCCCCAUUGGUGGGGGCUGGCGGCGACAGAAAAGUUACCCCGGGGAUAACAGGCUCGUCGCGGGCGAGAGUUCCCAUCGACCCCGCGGCUUGGUACCUCGAUGUCGGCUCUUCCCAUCCUGGCUCCGCAUUAGGGGCCAAGGGUGAGGCUGCUCGCCUAUUAAAGGGGAACGUGAGCUGGGUUUAGACCGUCGUGAGACAGGUCGGACUUUAUCUGCUGGGAGCGGUGGCCGCCUGAGGGGAAAGCGUCCCCAGUACGAGAGGAACGGGACGCUGUGGCCUCUAGUUUACCGGUUGUCCGAUAGGGCACCGCCGGGCAGCCACGCCGCUGCGGAUAAGAGCUGAAAGCAUCUAAGCUCGAAGCCGCUCCCGAGAAGAGGCGGCCAUUCCUUGGCGUGAGACCCGGCAACGGGCCUCGGCCAAGGACGAGGGCUCCCGUAGAAGACGGGGUUGAUGGAGCCGGGGUGUACGCCGGAAGGCUUCGGCCGACCGGUUCAGCCCGCGGUUCCCAAUCGCCCGAGGUGUCGGGCUG
rnacentral:rRNA from 1 species